CGGGCAGUAGCUCAGUGGUAGAGUUCCAACUUCGGAUUCGGAAAGACCUGGGUUUGAUUCCCGGCUUCUCAC
rnacentral:tRNA from 1 species